rnacentral:rRNA from 1 species
GUAAGGAAUAUUGGGCAAUGGAGGCAACUCUGACCCAGCCAUGCCGCGUGAAGGAUUGACGGCCCUCUGGGUUGUAAACUUCUUUUGUACGGGAAUAACCCUCCGAACGUGUUCGGAGCUGAAGGUACCGUAAGAAUAAGGAUCGGCUAACUCCGUGCCAGCAGCCGCGGUAAUACGGAGGAUCCAAGCGUUAUCCGGAUUUACUGGGUUUAAAGGGUGCGUAGGCGGAUUGAUAAGUCAGUGGUGAAAUCCUGCAGCUUAACUGCAGAACUGCCAUUGAUACUGCCAGUCUGGAGUAUGGUUGAGGUAGCUGGAAUGUGUCAUGUAGCGGUGAAAUGCUUAGAGAUGACACAGAACACCGACGGCGAAGGCAGGUUACCAACCCAUUACUGACGCUGAGGCACGAAAGCGUGGGGAUCAAACAGGAUUAGAAACCCUUGUAGUCC